UGGAUUAAAGUGCAAGCAGCCUUAGUGCAAGCAGCCCAAAAUUCUCCUUUGGAUGCCUCAAGUAGUAGACCAAGAAAUACUCCCCACUCCUCUGAAGCAACUCACAUUCCACCAACCGAUGAUGGCAGUGAUAAAAACAAUGGAGCUCAUAAUGGAUGAUCACACUACUCAUGAAAUUUGAUAUUUUGUAACUAAGUAUAUAGAAGUAGAUAUGUGACACUUGUUGGAAUGACAAUUCUUAUUUACUUGUUAUGACUAUUUUUUGGUACUUUGUCAU